UGAGAGGCCCGCGCACCGCGAUGAAGAGUGGCCCCCGCUUGCCGCAACUAGAGAAAGCCCUCGCACAGAAACGAAGACCCAACACAGCCAUAAAUAAAUAACCACUCUAGCAAAUUAAUUAAAGCCAAGGAGGAGGCUGUGGGAGUCUAUCAGAAGCACAGGUGACAACCUGGACUUGCGAUUGGCAUCUGAAGGAGGAGGGAUAGCCUUACAGGGCUGAGCCCUUAACCUGUGGAGUCUGAUGUUAUCUCCAGAAAUUCCUUUCCAAAAGAUGGCAAUCAGGGAUAUACUACAAAAGCAUCCUGUAACAGAAAUAAUGAGACUAAUGCUGGGAAAAAAUGAAGUUUCUUCAAGAAUGGGAGACCACUAAUUGAGAAGAAUUAAAAUCUAUAUUUUGUUUUGAUCAGACUGGAAACAUUUUGUUAUGGAAUUAGUUUCAAAUUGUAAAGUUUGGAAUGCUUCC